GACGUAGGGCGCGAGCGUUGUCCGGAAUUAUUGGGCGUAAAGAGCUCGUAGGCGGUGUGUCGCGUCGGUCGUGAAAACUUGGGGCUUAACUCUGAGCUUGCGGUCGAUACGGGCAUCACUAGAGUUCGGCAGGGGAGACUGGAAUUCCUGGUGUAGCGGUGAAAUGCGCAGAUAUCAGGAGGAACACCGGUGGCGAAGGCGGGUCUCUGGGCCGAUACUGACGCUGAGGAGCGAAAGCGUGGGGAGCGAACAGG
rnacentral:rRNA from 1 species